rnacentral:rRNA from 1 species
AUUGAACGCUGGCGGCAGGCCUAACACAUGCAAGUCGAGCGGAUGAAGGGAGCUUGCUCCUGGAUUCAGCGGCGGACGGGUGAGUAAUGCCUAGGAAUCUGCCUGGUAGUGGGGGAUAACGUCCGGAAACGGGCGCUAAUACCGCAUACGUCCUGCGGGAGAAAGUGGGGGAUCUUCGGACCUCACGCUAUCAGAUGAGCCUAGGUCGGAUUAGCUAGUUGGUGGGGUAAAGGCCUACCAAGGCGACGAUCCGUAACUGGUCUGAGAGGAUGAUCAGUCACACUGGAACUGAGACACGGUCCAGACUCCUACGGGAGGCAGCAGUGGGGAAUAUUGGACAAUGGGCGAAAGCCUGAUCCAGCCAUGACGCGUGUGUGAAGAAGGUCUUCGGAUUGUAAAGCACUUUAAGUUGGGAGGAAGGGCAGUAAGUUAAUACCUUGCUGUUUUGACGUUACCAACAGAAUAAGCACCGGCUAAAUUCGUG